GAUGAACGCUGGCGGCGUGCUUAACACAUGCAAGUCGAACGGAAAGGCCACAGCUUGCUGUGGUACUCGAGUGGCGAACGGGUGAGUAACACGUGGGUGAUCUGCCCUGUACUUCGGGAUAAGCUUGGGAAACUGGGUCUAAUACCGGAUAGGAAUCACAUGUGGGUGUGUGGUUGGAAAGCUUUUGCGGUAUGGGAUGAGCUCGCGGCCUAUCAGCUUGUUGGGGGGGGACUGCCUACCAAGGCGUCGACGGGUAGCCGGCCUGAGAGGGUGUACGGCCACAUUGGGGGGGGGAUACGGGGCAGACUCCUACGGGGGGGGGCAGUGGGGAAUAUUGCACAAUGGGCGCAAGCCUGAUGCAGCGACGCCGCGUGGGGGAUGACGGCCUUCGGGUUGUAAACUCCUUUCGUCAGGGACGAAGCGAAAGUGACGGUACCUGGAGAAGAAGCACCGGCUAACUACGUG
rnacentral:rRNA from 1 species